rnacentral:rRNA from 1 species
UUUAAUUAAUUAAAUAAAUUUUAAUUUUAUUGGUUUUAAAGAAAAUUUAUUUAUAUUUAUUAUGUGUACUGCAAAGGCUAAUAGAUUUAGAAAUUAAAAAGUAACUAUUUGUACCUUUAGUAUUAGGGAUUUUUAAAAAAAAAUAAAAUUUUAUUUUUCUCGAAGUCAACAGAUCUAUAAUUAUAAAACAACUUAUGUUUCAAAAUAUUUAUAUUAAUAUAAUUAUAGAAGUGAAAUUCUUGUCAAAGUUGAAGAUAACUAGUUAUUUUAAAUAAUUAUAUAUUAUCUUAUAAUAAUUUUAAAAUAUUAUAUAUUAUAAGAAAAGUUUUAAGGGAUAAGCUUUAAAAUUUUUCUAAAAAUUAAAUCAUAUUUUAGUAAAGAGUUAAAAUUUUUCUAAUAUUGUUAUAAGUAACUUUAAUUAUAUUUUAUAUAUUAGAAUUUAUUAUUUCAUUAAAAUUAACUUUUUUUUUUAAAUUAAUAUGAAAAUAUUAGUAAAAUUAAUUAUUUUGUAUUUAAUAUAAAAAAAUUAUUUAAAAUUUUAAAUAAUUUUAAAGAACUCGGCAAAAAUUUUUUUUGACUGUUUAAUAAAAACAAUGUAUUUAGAAAAUUAUUAAAUAUAAAUCCUGCUCAAUGUUUAAAUAAAUUGCUGUAGUAUUUUGACUAUACAAAGGUAUUGUAAUAAGAUUUUAAUUGAGUGCUAAGAGAAUGGAAUUUCAAAAAAAAUCUUUUUUAAAAUUAAAAAUUGAAGUUAUUUUUAUAUGUGAAGAAACAAUAAUAUAAAUUUAGGACAAGAAGACCCUAUGAAUUUUUAUGUUUUUAUAUAUCAGUAAAUAUAUAUAUUACAUUUAAUUGGGGCGAUUUAAAAAUAUCAAGAACUUUUUAUUUAAAAAAUUGAUCCAUUAAUAAUGAUUAUGUGAUUAAAUACUCUAGGGAUAACAGCGUAAUAAUUUUGGAUAGAUCUUAUAGAUAAAAUAGUUUGCGACCUCGAUGUUGGAUUAGGAUUCUUAUUUAAUGAAGAAGUUAAAAAAAGAAGUUUGUUCAACUUUUAAAUUCCUACAUGAUCUGAGUUUAGACCGAUGUGAAUCAGGUUGGUUUCUACCUUAAUUUCAAAAAUAUAUUUCAAUUAGUACGAAAGGAAUUUUGAAAUAAUUUAUAAUUCUUAAUUUUACAGUUUUUGCAUCAAAUUUUGGAAUU